rnacentral:rRNA from 1 species
AUGCUAGGGCAUCGCCGGGGGGAGAGAGAUAUGCAGCCGAGGCGCCAAAGGAUGGCAACGCGGCCCAAGGAGCCUGGCCGCCUUCCACAAGAGCUUGGCCGCCGUGAAGGAGGCGACUACACCUGUCCUGCUCAUGCGGUCAUGCCCUCAAGGUGUUUGCGAGAAUGUCGUCUCUGUUUGCAGAAUGCACAGUAUGCCGUGUCUGACACUUAUUUGCAGAAUGCAGAACACCAUCAUUUCAUUCCAUCGCAGAUAAGAUCAGUGCCAAGCUCGAUAAUGGAUGGUCGCAAUUGUAUUAAGCAUAGUCCACCUAGCUACAUACUGAAAACAGCUUCAAUCUUGCUGAUCAGCAUAGUCGACCUAGCUACACACUGA